rnacentral:sRNA from 1 species
GCACCUGCAAAUUCAGGUGCCGGGAUUGGUCUCCCGAAUAUCAUACCUGUGACAUAUGGCGCGUCAGCGUCUUUUUU